GUGCUCACUUUGGUAGCACAUAUACUAAAAUUGGAAUGACAAAGAUUGUCAUGGCCCUGUGCAAGAAUACCAAACAUAUUCAUGAUGCAUUCCAUAUUUUU
rnacentral:snRNA from 1 species